CUGGAGUAUGGACAGUUUUUUAUUAUGUUUGAGCUAUGGGAAUUUCCAAAUAUGGUGCAAAAGUCAGCCAUUGUCUGGGUACAAUUUGAAGCUCUACAAGCAGCAGUGGCACAGCUUGACCUCCCUACUCAUUUGCUAGCCCAUUCUCUGGGGAGCCAUGUGGCUGUGGCCCAUCAACACUGGAGAGCGGGACUGACAACAGGCUGGUGGGAUUGCUUCUACUUUUGGCCGGUAACAGGGAUUAACACUGAAGCCAAAGAGCUCUAGUGAAAUAUGGCUGGAAGCGCCUGCCUAAUCAAAAGAGCAAAAGAAAUGGAUGAAACAGAGAAACGAAGAUGCAGAGGCAAAGGAAAACUGGAGGAAGACUCUUGUCCAGGAGCAUUCUCAUUUGAGUCAGUGGGGGAGGCUGCAUCCAUAACUCGCCAUUUCUAUAUUACUAAAGCAAAGAAAUUUAUUAUGAUGGUUUUGAGAAGUUAUUAGGCAUGGCAUCCUGAGUGACAAACUACCACGGGAUUGUCACAAACCCAAAACCAGUUGCCCAUCCAUCACCCAGCUCUCCAGAUGGUUCUGCAUCUUUAUCGCUCCCUGGUUGGUGACAUCACCUGGUCUCCCACUCAGAACUGAUGAUGAAAGCAAACAGAUCUAUCUUGCUUACAUUUACCAAAUCAAUUUUAUUUUAACAGGCCUCUGCAUAUUGGCAUAUUGACUGUUGCUCUUAAUAGCAUUUACCAUAUUUUAAUGCAAAGAUGUCAUCACUGAAAACCCCCCUCCUGAAUAAUGUGGCACUCCAUAAUAAAUUUUUUUACAUCUUAUUUACUUAAUGGAAAGAAUUACAGUUGCCUGUCACUGCCAUAAUUAAACAUAAUGAUACAGUAUGGUUUCUUCAGAUGCUAUCUUACUGAUAAGUUAAAAUAUCAAAAUAAAUAUGAUAUAAGAUUUCUGCAAAUUAAUGUUCUAGUAACACAUUUAUUUUUUAGCAAAUACUUAAAC